UGCUCAGUCAUGAAUCAGUGGCUGAGACUGUGAGACAGAACUUUGUGGGCAGUCUGUCCAGUUGGAUCAGGGAGCCCAACAUUGUCAUCAAGGAAAUCGGGCUCCGUGGGAUCCGUAACCUAGCACUGCACCCAGGAAAAUCAGACACUUUGAAGACCCUGGUUCCCUCCUUGGAAGAACUCCUGAAGGAUGAUGAGUGGCGAGUAAGGGCAGAGGCAGUGAAGGCCCUA